rnacentral:rRNA from 1 species
UACGGGGGGAGCAAGCGUUGUUCGGAUUUACUGGGCGUAAAGGGCGCGUAGGCGGCCACCGCAAGUCGACUGUGAAAUCUCCGGGCUUAACCCGGAAAGGUCAGCCGAUACUGCGGGGCUAGAGUGCAGAAGGGGCAACUGGAAUUCUCGGUGUAGCGGUGAAAUGCGUAGAUAUCGGGAGGAACACCAGUGGCGAAGGCGGCGAUCUGGGAAGAUACUGACGCUGAGGUGCGAAAGCGUGGGGAGCAAACAGG